rnacentral:rRNA from 1 species
UACGUAGGGUGCGAGCGUUAAUCGGAAUUACUGGGCGUAAAGCGUGCGCAGGCGGUGAUGUAAGACAGAUGUGAAAUCCCCGGGCUCAACCUGGGAACUGCAUUUGUGACUGCAUCGCUGGAGUGCGGCAGAGGGGGGAUGGAAUUCCGGCGUGUAGCAGUGAAAAUGCGUAGAUAUGCGGAGGAACACCGAUGGCGAAGGCAAUCCCCUGGGCCUGCACUGACGCUCAUGCACGAAAGCGUGGGGAGCAAACAGG